rnacentral:rRNA from 1 species
AACGAACGCUGGCGGCAUGCCUAACACAUGCAAGUCGAACGAGACCUUCGGGUCUAGUGGCGCACGGGUGCGUAACGCGUGGGAACCUGCCCUUAGGUUCGGAAUAACUCCCCGAAAGGGGUGCUAAUACCGGAUAAUGUCUUCGGACCAAAGAUUUAUCGCCUUUGGAUGGGCCCGCGUUGGAUUAGCUAGUUGGUAGGGUAAAAGCCUACCAAGGCGACGAUCCAUAGCUGGUCUGAGAGGAUGAUCAGCCACACUGGGACUGAGACACGGCCCAGAAUCCUACGGGAGGCAGCAGUGGGGAAUAUUGGAGAAGGGGCGAAAGCCUGAUCCAGCAAUGCCGCGUGAGUGAUGAAGGCCUUAGGGUUGUAAAGCUCUUUUACCCGGGAUGAUAAUGACGGUACCGGGAGAAUAAGCGCCGGCUAACUCCGUG